rnacentral:rRNA from 1 species
GAGUUUGAUCUUGGCUCAGGGUGAACGCUGGCGGCGUGCUUAAGACAUGCAAGUCGAACGGUCCCUUCGGGGAUAGUGGCGCACGGGUGAGUAACGCGUAACUGACCUACCCCAAAGUCGCGGAUAACGAUUCGAAAGAAUCGCUAAUACGUGAUGUGCUGUCAGAUUGUGUUCUGCCAGUAAAGAUUUAUUGCUUUGGGAUGGGGUUGCGUUCCAUCAGCUAGUUGGUGGGGUAAAGGCCUACCAAGGCGACGACGGAUAGCCGGCCUGAGAGGGUGGCCGGCCACAGGGGCACUGAGACACGGGUCCCACUCCUACGGGAGGCAGCAGUUAGGAAUCUUCCACAAUGGGCGAAAGCCUGAUGGAGCGACGCCGCGUGAGGGACGAAGGUCUUCGGAUUGUAAACCUCUGAAUCAGGGACGAAAGACGCGUAAGCGGGAUGACGGUACCUGAGUAAUAGCACCGGCUAAC